AGAGCCCAGCUCAACCAGGAACAGGCAGGAUGAAUCUCACUUGGCCUCCUAGGCUCGGCCAUGAGAGACUUCAAAUGGAACUGCAGUUUCUGGCAGCACUUGGCCCUGCCCGCCUGGGCUUAAAGGAUCCUUGAGCUCUGGCAGGGGCAGAGCUGGAAAGAAAUAAGAACCCGAAGAGGAGAGAGGUGCUCAGGCUCCCGGCAGAGGGUAAUGCAUGGAGACGCAAUGUCACUUAUACAAGAUGUUGAUGGAAUUUACUAUAUAAAAAUCUUCCUCCUAGAGUAAAGAGUAUCAACAUUACAACUCGACAGACGGCGGCGGGAUAAGUAAAACAGACAAAAGACAAACAAGAUAA
rnacentral:lncRNA from 1 species